rnacentral:lncRNA from 1 species
AUGACAACUAGAAUACCGGCUAUUCCCGUUUGCUCUCUGAUCCACACCGCUCUCUUCCUGUCUCUUAACGUUACGCCUAAGAUUUUUUCGGUCCAUCGCUUUUUGUGAGGUCCUUAACUGGUUCUCGUGCUUCUUUGUUAACCUCC